rnacentral:misc_RNA from 1 species
CCUCCUGAGAAAGCUUCACUUUGUGAUGAAAAAGGAGAUAUUGAUAGGGCAAAGAGACCUUGGGAGUUUCUACCUCCCAAUCACAAAAUUGGGACACCAGAGCCAUUGUUCAAGGAACUGAAAGAUGAGGAAGUUGAUUUCUUCAGGAAGAAAUUUGCUGGAAGUCAAGCUGAGAGGGCAGAAGCUGAAGCAGCAAGGAUUGCUGAGCAACCGAAGCGGCAAAGGUUGCUGAGCAACUGAAGAAGACUAAAGUUUCGGAUGGUAACGGGAAGAAGCAACAGAUCAAAAAGCCUUCUGCCAAAGCCAAAUCAAAG